UACGUAGGGUGCAAGCGUUAAUCGGAAUUACUGGGCGUAAAGCGUGCGCAGGCGGUUGUGUAAGACAGAUGUGAAAUCCCCCGGGCUCAACCUGGGAACUGCAUUUGUGACUGCACGGCUCGAGUGCGGCAGAGGGGGAUGGAAUUCCGCGUGUAGCAGUGAAAUGCGUAGAUAUGCGGAGGAACACCGAUGGCGAAGGCAAUCCCCUGGGCCUGCACUGACGCUCAUGCACGAAAGCCGUGGGGGAGCAAACAGG
rnacentral:rRNA from 1 species